AUGCCCACCACGCCGAAGGUCAUCCGGUGGGCAUCGGCCGCCGGAGCCACUUCCGGGCGCGGGAUGACCGUGGAGGACCCAAUCCGACCCUGUGCGCAGGGUCUUGGGGUGAAGCCGCAGCAGCGGCCGGGCACCUGACCGCCCGAACCCGACAGCUCACUUCACAGGCGUCGUCAGGAGAGGAACU
rnacentral:sRNA from 2 species